GAAACAAGAUGAAGUCACAGACCCCGUUCUUCCUAUCCCUGCUGCUUUGGGUGUCUGGUGCCUAUGCAGACAUCGUGAUGACUCAGUCUCCAUCUUCCCUGGCCGUGUCAGCAGGAGAGAAAGUCACCAUCAGCUGCAGGUCCAGUCAGAGUCUUUUAGACAGCACAGAACAAAAGAACUACUUGUCCUGGUACCAGCAGAAACCAGGGCAAUCCCCUAAGCUGCUGAUCUAUUGGGCAUCCACUCGGGACACUGGGGUCCCUGAUCACUUCACAGGCAGUGGAUCUGGGACAGAUUUCACUCUCAGUAUCAGCAGUGUGCAGGAUGAAGACCUGGCAGUUUAUUACUGUCUGCAGGAAUUUAGUACUCCUCCCACAGUGCUUCAGCCUCCAGCACAAACC